UAAAGACACUCUGGAAAGUCGGGGCUGGCCCCCGCGCCGAAGGUGUAAGCAUGACCGACAGGGUUCCGGUCAUGCGAGUCUCUCAGGCUUCCGACAGAGGGGCACGA
rnacentral:ncRNA from 2 species